rnacentral:lncRNA from 1 species
UCGUCCUCUCGUUGAUUUUCAACUUAUCAAGCCCACACAGCCCAGUCUGGCCAUCAAUUUACGGAAGCAACCUCUAUUUAUCGGUAGACAGACAGUAUACGAGUAUCAAACAGACAAACACACAAGGAACAAUUCUGAACUUCGUUUUGUGCCAUCUAUCUCUGAACUGUCUGUGUGUGUGUGUGUGUGUCGGAAUAGUCCCUGUCUAUAGCAGCAGCAGCAACAAUCUAGUGUACUUUAAGGCACAAAUGUUCUGAAUCUGAAAAAAAGGUGAUCAUCCGAAACGAACUGAAGUUUGCAAAGUAGUAGUAAGAAGCUGUAUUUGCGAUUUGCUUCUUUCCAGUCUCUUCCUUAGCGAAUAGCGACCCAGUAUACCCAUAGGUAUGAUAACGCCCCGCACGUGCACGCACAUGGAAGCAUGUGCCUCCUACAGUCCUACUCCCUCCUGCACGCCCGACAUGACACGAGGCUGCCUAGCUCACACGUAGGACUUGACCGCGUCGCUGUACCCCGUGAGCCCGUCGUAGUACCUCGACCAGAGCAUGAUGCCCCCGUACUUGGUGGAGUUCUU